UUUUGUAUUCAGUCCCAGACAGGACACAGGACAGUCAAGAUGGCUCCAGUUCAACUUUUAGGGCUUUUGCUGCUCUGCCUCCCAGCCAUGAGAUGUGACAUCCAGAUGACCCAGUCUCCUCCAGUCCUGUCUGCAUCUGUGGGAGACAGAGUCACUCUCAGCUGCAAAGCAAGUCAGAAUAUUAAUAAGAACUUAGACUGGUAUCAGCAAAAGCAUGGAGAAGCUCCAAAACUCCUGAUAUAUUAUACAAACAAUUUGCAAACGGGCAUCCCAUCAAGGUUCAGUGGCAGUGGAUCUGGUACAGAUUACACACUCACCAUCAGCAGCCUGCAGCCUGAAGAUGUUGCCACAUAUUACUGCUAUCAGUAUAACAGUGGGCCCCACGGUGAUACAAGCCAUAACAUAAACCACCCAGAGAUGCAGAUGUGUGAGACCUUGUCCUCAGCAUACCAACUCCUUGCCAUUACCUGUAAGGUGCCAGUUAUGGCUUCUCCAGUGAUCCAAAGCAAUAGCUUUACCUCGCCCUUUAAACAGAUUGAUGCUUUGGCAGCUGUGGUACUUCAAAACCCGAUGGGGGCUAGACGUUCUGACAGCUUAGGACGGUGGUCUUUGCCAGUUCCUCCAAGAAGAAUGCUGUUUCUUCAUCCACCAUUCUGGGAUAGUGAAAAAUAA